rnacentral:lncRNA from 1 species
CAGAAGCUUUUAUUUCAAUUCAGUUGGAGAAACAGGGUCCACGAGACCAAAUGCUGAACACCUUCCUUCAGAAGAAACAGUUCCUGGGAACUAUACUGGAAAAUCAAGAUGAAACUGAGAAAGUUAAAAGAGAGGUUAUUGUUGCAUACUGCUAUAAGAUGAACCAUCGUAUGUCACAGUACUCCCUUCGAAGUCAGAUCAUUGCAUAUUACAACAGCAUAAAAACAAUGCUGGAUGAUUUCCCCAGCGUGAGAGACAAAUACUUCAUGAUAGGGUCACCACAAGAGAAGAAAGGUGAAAAAGAGUUAAAGGAAAAGCUUGAAGAUGAUCCCAGGACAUUCCAGUCACGACCCCGAUGCCUGCUGUCUGCUGAUGGACAGUCUUUCUUGAAUCUGUGGUUCAUACCUCAUCCUUCAGAAGUCUUGUCUGUGUUUCGAAUAUUACCAGAGAAGACUGGCUACAGAGCCCUGAGACAGAUGCUGCAAAUUGUGGCAGCUUUUCACGACAUUGUUUCAUACAUUUUCAGCUUUGCUCAGCUAGGAACUUCCCGAGGCUCCUUGGAUUAUCUGUGUCCUCCUGACCAUUUUGCUGCAGAGUGGGGAGGGACAGAAUGGAUUGGUUAGUAACAAACACUCUCUGUCUUUGGAUGACUGUUCUGGCAAAUUUUAGAGAUAUGUUCAAAGAAAUACCGGUUUGAGAAACAUUAACAAUUCACUUCUAAGCUUUUUGCCUAUAAAUAUAUCCUUCAGUUCGG